rnacentral:rRNA from 1 species
GAUGAACGCUGGCGGCGUGCUUAACACAUGCAAGUCGAACGGAAACGAGCUGCUUUUGCGGGGUGCUCGAGUGGGGAAGGGGUGAGUAACACGUGAGUAACCUGCCCUUGACUUUGGGAUAAAUUCAGGAAACUGGGGCUAAUAACGGCUAGGAGCUCCUGCUGCAUGGUGGGGGUUGGAAAGUUUCGGCGGUUGGGGAUGGACUCGGGGCUUGUCAGCUUGUUGGUGGGGUAGUGGAUUACCAAGGCAUUGACGGGUAGCCGGCCUGGGAGGGGGGCCGGCCACAUUGGGCCUGAACUGCGGCACAGACUCCUCCGGUAGGCAGCAGAGGGGAAUAUAGCACAACGGGCGGAAGCCUGAUGCAACAGCGCCGCGUGCGGGAUGACGGCCUUCGGGUUGGAAACCGCUUUCGCCUGUGACGAAGCGUGAGUGACGGUAAUGUGUAAAGAAGCACCGGCUAACUACGUG